GCCCCUGUAGCUCAACGGAUAGAGCACAGGCCUCCGGAGCCUGGCAUACAGGUUCAAUUCCUGUCAGGGGCA
rnacentral:tRNA from 2 species